rnacentral:rRNA from 1 species
UACGGGGGGGGCAAGCGUUGUUCGGAAUUACUGGGCGUAAAGGGCUCGUAGGCGGCCAACUAAGUCAGACGUGAAAUCCCUCGGCUUAACCGGGGAACUGCAUCUGAUACUGGAUGGCUUGAGUUCGGGAGAGGGAUGUGGAAUUCCAGGUGUAGCGGUGAAAUGCGUAGAUAUCUGGAGGAACACCGGUGGCGAAGGCGGCAUCCUGGACCGGUAUUGACGCUGAGGAGCGAAAGCCAGGGGAGCAAACGGG